NGUCAUACACAGCUUCAAUCUUCACACAAACUUGUUGGUGUAGUUACAUCAUGGCCUUCAAAUUGUCAUUUGCAUCCUUGUGAACCAAUUCACCAUUUGGAAAUGGAAUGAAAUACAAAGGCUUGUAAGGAUUCACACCAUACACCACUUACGUAGGCUUAUAAGGACCUUCAGCUUUUGGCAUCAACUUUUGUUUGGAAAACGUUCUUUCCUCAUAUGCACCAACACCAAAUCACCAUCUUGAAAGACACGAGGUUUCCUAUACAUGUUGGAAUUCUGUUUGUACACGUCAAUCACGGCUUCAAUCUUCACACUAGCUUGUUGGUGUAGUUUCGUCAUGGCCUUCAACUUGUCAUUAGCAUCCUUGUGAACCAAUUCAUCGUUUGGAAAUGGAAUAAUAUACAAAGGCUCGUAAGGAUUCACACCAUACACCACUUACAAAGGCUUGUAAGGACCUUCAGCUCUUGGCAUCAACUCUUGUUCAAAGUGAACAAAGGUUAGUUUGAUUAAAAUUUCAUCUAUCUCUUUUUUCCAUGCAUAAUUGGCUUAUAUGAAGCCUUUAUAACAAAGUUGGUGGUUACUAGCCACCCAACCAACUACUCAGUAAAACUAAUAAUGGAAAUUAAUGAAACUCAUGAAACCACACAAAAAAACGUCUAACACAAUAAAGAGUGAAAAAAGUGUCCACGCUCCAUUAAGGAGCAAAAAGAAGCAUUAAAGUGUAACCCAAAAGAAGCACUUAUUAAGCCUUUAAAAUGUUGUCGUAGCCUUCAUGCAACCCUAAUUCAAUAUGUAGGUUAGCAUGCACAACCCAACCAAUGAGUACAAACCACCUUCUAGCCUACUAGUAAUCACUAAUCCAUCACAUUUUUCGGCUUUUCAUGAGCCAUGCAUGGAUCCUCCCCUCCCUCUUUGAAAGGAAAUGACCUUAAUUCAUCAAGGCCAUCCUCAACAAGAUACGGUGAAAGGUCUCCCACAUUAAAGGUAGCAUGCACUCAAUGGUCUCGUCUCAGAUCAACCUUAUAAGUAUUAUCAUUGACAUGUGUCACCACUUUGUAAGGACCUUCAGCUCUUGGCAUGAAUUUUUGCUCUUCCUUUUGUUAAGAAAACGUUCUUUCCUCAUAUGCACCUAAACCAAGUCACCAUCUUGUAAGACACGUGAUUUCCUAUUCAUGUUGGAAUUCUGUUUGUACACGUCAUUCACAGCUUCAAUUUUCACAAAAACGUGUUGCUGUAGUUACAUCAUGGCCUUCAAAUUGUCAUUUGCAUCCUUGUGAACCAAUUCAUCAUUUGGAAAUGGAAUCAAAUACAAAGGCUUAUAAGGAUUCACACCAUACACCACUUACGAAGGCUUAUAAGGACCUUCAGCUUUUGGCAUCACCUUUUGUUCUUCCUUUUGUUUGGAAAACGUUCUUUCCUCAUAUGCACCUAAACCAAGUCACCAUCUUGAAAGACACGAGGUUUCCUAUACAUGUUGGAAUACUUUUUGUACACAUCAUUAACGGCUUCAAUCUUCACACGAGCUUGUUGGUGUAGUUUCGUCAGGGCCUUCAACUUGUCAUUAGCAUCCUUGUGAACCAAUUCAUCUUUUGGAAAUUGAAUAAUAUACAAAGGCUUGUAAUGAUUCACACCAUAGACCACUUACAAAGGCUUGUAAGGACCUUUAGCUCUUGGCAUCAACUUUUGUUCUUCCUUUUGUUACGAAAACGUUCUUUCCUCAUAUGCACCUAAACCAAGUCACCAUCUUGAAAGGCAUGUGGUUUCCUAUGCAUGGUUGAAUUCUAUUUGUACACGUCAUUCAUGGCUUCAAUCUUCACAAGAACUUGUUGGUGUAGUUUCAUCAUGGCCUUCAACUUGUCAUUAGUAUCCCUGUGAACCAAUUCAUCGUUUGGAAAUGGAAUCAAAUAUAAAGGCUUGUAAGGAUUCACACCAUACAUCACUUAUAAAGGACAGUGUCCUGUAGCAUAAGUAGGAGAACUAUUACAGGCAAACUCAGCAUGUGCAAGUUUGAUGUCCAACUGUUUUUGAGUUUUGCCAACCAACCCCCUCAAUAGCAUACCCAAAGUUCUAUUAGUCACCUUCGUUUGCCAAUCAGUUUGUGGAUGAUGGGACGUACUAAAAAGUUACUUAGUACCAACUUUCCUCCACAAAGUGUUCCAAAUGUAACUCAAAAACAUGGAAUCCCUAUCAGAAACAAUAGUUUUAAGAAUAAUAUGCAAGCGAACCACUUCUUUAAAGUACAAAUCAGACACAUUAGAUGAAUCAUUGGUGUUAUGACUUGGCAUAAAGUGAGCCAUUUUUGAAAACCUAUCCACCACCAUUAUAAUGGAUUCCUUCCCCCUUUGAGUUCUAGGAAAAGCCAUACUGAAUUCCAUUGACACCUCUUGCUAAGGACGAAUAGGAACCGACAAAGGAGUGUAAACACCAUGCUUGAAAGUUUUUUUCGGCAUCCGACAUGUAAGAAACUUGCCCACUAUGUUGGUUACAUCCCUAACAUCUUUAGGCCAGAAGAAAUGUUCUUAAAGCACCUUCAAAGUUUUGGUAAUGGAAAAAUGACCCGCCAAACCACCACCAUGAGCUUCACGAAUCAGCAACUCCUGUAUUUCAUGUUUAGGGACACAAAGGUCAUUGCCUUUUGAUGCCUUUAUGGGCUUGAUUAAGUGAGUGGGGUUGUGUUUAGGUAAAUUAAGCUAAAAUAACUUCCACAAAUGCUUAGUAAGAAAUCAAGACCUACUAAGUUGUAUACUCGUGAAAACUAUCCAAGAAAUAAUAUUUGUUUGAAUGCGUAUCAAGUCAAGAACACAUCUCGACUAUCACAAGUAGUGAACUAUAACUAUAGCUCAAAGUGAACAAAGGUUAUUUUGAUUAGAAUUUCAUCUAUCUCUUUUUUCCAUGCAUAAUUGGCUUAUAUGAAGCCUUUAUAACAAAGUUGGUGGUUACUAGCCACCCAACCAACUACUCAGUAAAACUAAUAAUGGAAAUUAAAGAAACUCAUGAAACCACACAAAAAAACGUAUGACACACUAAUGAAUGAAAAAAGUGUCCACACUCCAUUAAGGAGCAAAAAGAAGCAUUAAAGUGUAACCCAAAUCCACUAAAGAGUAUCAAUAAUGGCUAGAAGGCUUGAUGAAGCAAAAAGUAACAGUUUUGAGCACUUAUUAAGCCUUUAAAAUGUUGCCCUAGCCUUCAUGUGACACUAAUUCAAUACGUAGGUUACCAUGCACAACCCAACCAUUGAGUAUAAACCACCUUCUAGCCUACUAGUAAUCACUAAUCCAUCACCUUUUUCGGCUUUUCAUGAGCCAUGCAUGGAUCCUCCCCUCCCUCUUUUAAAGGAAAUAACCUUAAUUCAUCAAGGACAUCCUCAACAAGAUACGGUGAAAGGUCUCCCACAUUUAAGGUAGCAUGCACUCCACGGUCUCAUCCCAGAUUAACCUUAUAUGUAUUACCAUUGACAUGUGUCACCACUUUGUAAGGACCUUCAGCUCUUGGCAUCAACUUUUGCUCUUCCUUUUGUUAAGAAAACGUUCUUUCCUCAUAUGCACCUAAACCAAGUCAACAUCUUGUAAGACACGUGGUUUCCUAUUCAUGUUGGAAUUCUGUUUGUGCACGUCAUUCACAGCUUCAAUCUUCACACAAACUUGUUGGUGUAGUUACAUCAUGGCCUUUAAAUUAUCAUUUGCAUCCAUGUGAACCAAUUCAUCAUUUGGAAAUGGAAUCAAAUACAAAGGCUUGUAAAGAUUCACACCAUACACCACUUACGAAGGUUUAUAAGGACCUUCAGCUUUUGGCAUUAACUUUUGUUCUUCCAUUUGUUUGGAAAAUGUUCUUUCCUCAUAUGCACCUAAACCAAGUCACCAUCUUGAAAGAUACGAGGUUUCCUAUACAUGUUGGAAUUCUGUUGUUACACGUCAUUCACGGCUUCAAUCUUCACACGAGCUUGUUAGUGUAGUUUCGUCAUGGCCUUCAACUUGUCAUUAGCAUCCUUGAGAACCAAUUCAUCGUUUGGAAAUGGAAUAAUAUAUAAAGGCUUGUAAGGAUUCACACCAUACACCACUUACAAAGGCUUGUAAGGACCUUCAGCUCGUCGCAUCAACAUUUGUUCUUCCUUUUGUUAGGAAAACGUUCUUUCCACAUAUGCACCUAAACAAAGUCACCAUCUUGAAAGACAUGUGGUUUCCUAUGCAUGUUGCAAUUCUGUUUGUACACGUCAUUCAUGGCUUCAAUCUUCACAAGAACUUGUUGGUGUAGUUUCAUCAUGGCCUUCAACUUGUCAUUAGCAUCCUUGUGAAUUUAUUCAUCGUUUGGAAAUGGAAUCAAAUAUAAAGGCUUGUAAGGAUUCACACCAUACAUCACUUAUAAAGGACAAUGACCUGUAGCAUAAGUAGGAGAACGAUUACAGGCAAACUCAGCAUGUGCAAGUUUGAUGUCCAACUGUUUUUGAGUUUUGCUAACCAACCCCCUCAACAACAUACCCAAAGUUCUAUUAGUCACCUUCGUUUGCCCAUCAGUUUGUGGAUGAUGGGACGUACUAAAAAGUAACUUAGUACCAACUUUCCUCCACAAAGUGUUCCAAAUGUAACUCAAAAACAAGGAAUCCCUAUCAGAAACAAUAGUUUUACAAAUAAUAUGCAAGCGGACCACUUCUUUACAGUACAAAUCAGACACAUUAGAUGAAUCAUUGGUUUUAUUACAUGGCAUAAAGUGAGCCAUUUUUGAAAACCUAUCCACCACCACUAUAACGGAUUCCUUCCCCCUUUGAGUUCUAGGAAAAACCAUACUUAAUUCCAUUGACACCUCUUGCCAAGGACGAAUAGGAAUCGACAAAGGAGUGUAAACACCAUGCUUGAAAGUUUUUUUCAUCAUCCGACAUGUAACACACUUUCCCACUAUGUUGGUUACAUCCCUAACAUCUUUAGGCUAGAAGAAAUGUUCUUAAAGCACCUUCAAAGUUUUGGUAAUGGAAAAAUGACCCGCCAAACCACCACCAUGAGCUUCACGAAUCAGCAACUCCCGUAUUGCAUGUUUAGGGACACAAAGGUGAUUGCCUUUUGAUGCCUUUAUGGGCUAGAUUAAGUGAGUGGGGCUGUGUUUAGGUAAAUGAAGCUAGAAUAAAAACCACAAAUGACAGGUGUAUGGGAAGAAAUGGAUAAACUAGUAACAAAUCAAGACCUACUAAGUUGUAUACCCGUGAAAACUAUCCAAGACAUAAUAUUUGUUUGAAUGCAUAUCAAGUCAAGAACACGUCUCGACUAUGACAAGUAGUGAACUAUAACUAUAAUUCAAAGUGAACAAAGGUUCUUUUGAUUAAAAUUUCAUCUAUCUCUUUUUUCCAUGCAUAAUUGGCUUAUAUGAAGCCUUUAUUACAAAGUUGUUGGUUACAAACCACCCAACCAACUACUCAGUAAAACUAAUAAUGGAAAUUAAAGAAACUCAUGAAACCACACAAAAAAAAGUCUGACACACUGAUGAAUGAAAAAAGUGUCCAUGCUCCAUUAAGGAGCAAAAAGAAGCAUUAAAGUGUAAUCCAAAUCCACCAAAGAGUAUCAACAAUGGCUAGAAGGCUUGACGAAGCAAAAAGUAACAGUUUUGAGCACUUAUUAAGCCUUUAAAAUGUUGCCCUAGCCUUCAUGCGACCCUAAUUUAAUACGUAGGUUACCAUGCACAACCCAACCAUUGAGUACAAACCACCUUCUAGCCUACUAGUAAUCACUAAUCCAUCACAUUUUUCGGCUUUUCAUGAGCCAUGCAUGGAUCCUCCCCUCCCUCUUUGAAAGGAAAUGACCUUAAUUCAUCAAGGCCAUCCUCAACAAGAUACGGUGAAAGGUCUCCCACAUUAAUGGUAGCAUGCACUCCAUGGUCUCGUCCCAGAUCAACCUUGUAAGUAUUAUCAUUGACAUGUGUCACCACUUUGUAAGGACCUUCAGCUCCUGGCUUCAACUUUUGUUCUUCCUUUUGUUAGGAAAACGUUCUUUCCUCAUACGCACCUAAACCAAGUCACCAUCUUCUAAGACACGUGGUUUCCUAAUCAUGUUGGAAUUUUGUUUGUAAAUGUCAUUCACAGCUUCAAACUUCACACAAACUUGUUGGUGUAGUUACAUCACGACCUUCAAUUUUUCAUUUGCAUCCCUUGUGAACCAGUUAAUCAUUUGGAAAUGGAAUCAAAUACAAAGGCUUGUAAGGAUUCACACCAUACACCACUUAUGAAGGCUUAUAAGGUCCUUCAGCUUUUGGCAUCAACUUUUGUUUGGAAAACGUUCUUUCCUCAUAUGCACCAACACCAAAUCACCAUCUUGAAAGACACGAGGUUUCCUAUACAUGUUGGAAUUCUGUUUGUACACGUCAAUCACGGCUUCAAUCUUCACACUAGCUUGUUGGUGUAGUUUCGUCAUGGCCUUCAACUUGUCAUUAGCAUCCUUGUGAACCAAUUCAUCGUUUGGAAAUGGAAUAAUAUACAAAGGCUCGUAAGGAUUCACACCAUACACCACUUACAAAGGCUUGUAAGGACCUUCAGCUCUUGGCAUCAACUCUUGUUCAAAGUGAACAAAGGUUAGUUUGAUUAAAAUUUCAUCUAUCUCUUUUUUCCAUGCAUAAUUGGCUUAUAUGAAGCCUUUAUAACAAAGUUGGUGGUUACUAGCCACCCAACCAACUACUNCAAAGGAUCCAAAUCAAAUGCCAGAUGGACCAGUUACGAGGGCACGAGCUAAAACAUUCAAAGAGGCUUUAAAUGGAUUGGUUAGAGAAGUUUGUACUCAAGAAAGUGUAUGGAGACCCAUUGGACCCAAUCAAAGUUGGAUUACCAUAAUUCAAGUCCAAGAGUGAGUUACAAGAUACAAUAAGAAACUUUAUAAGCCCAUUUCGUUUUUUGUCUAUAUUUUUAUGUAAUUUUCGUUUUUUAUAUAUCCUAAAUAAGUGUUGGGGAGAUAAAAGGGUCUUAGGUUACAUGAACCUUGUGAUAAACCAUGUCUAGGUUCAUAGUUUUAAACUUGGGGGUUAAAUGCCUUAAAUUAAAGACACUUCUUUAAUUCAUGGCUCUUUAGGUGCUCUUCCCACACUAUAAAAACGUGGUAUUUGUAUCCAUUUGAAAUCAAUCAAGUUUUGAAUACAAUUUGUGAGUUUUUAACUCUUUUUUCGUUCUUUGUGAACUUUAGAACUUAUCAGGUUUUCAUAGCUUGUGGCGUUCAAACUUAUCAAUCAAUUUGGUGGGUUGAUUGUGGCGUUUUAUACCAAGGUUCUUGUCUCUUUAUAGACAACGGGUCGCGGUUUCCACCUUUGUUUUACAAUUCUGUAACCAAAAGAACGAUCGGGCAAAACGUGUUCAAACCUCAAUUUUGGGUGAGAUCACAUCAUUUGGUAUCAGAGCCAGUUCUUUGUGUUGCAUAUCUAUUUUGUUUUCUUCCUUGAUUACUUGAGUUCUAAGACGCAUAUUGGUAGCGGGUCUUGUCACAAGUUGUCAAGGUUCUUACUAGCGACUUUUGAAUUUCUAAGUUGUCAAACUUCUAUAUUCUACAUUUCUUUUGUUUCCUUUAUGUUUUCAUUUGGCUAUUAGUUUCCUCAAAAAAAAAUCAAAGGUGAAAAAAAAAAAAAAAACGAAAAGAAGCAAAAAAAAAAAAAGAAAGAAAAAAAAAAGCAAAAAAAAAUAUUUAAAAAAAAAACAAAGAUUUACAAAGAAAAAAAAAAGAGAGAAAAAAAAACAAAAAAAGAGAAAAAAAAAGAAAGAAAGAAGAGGAGGAACAAGUAAAGCCUUUUUUUUUUCUAUAAAGUCAAUUUGAAUUGCAAGUGUAGUUUUUUUUUUUAAAAAAAAAAAAAUAACCCAUUGUUUGCUUCAUCAUUAGCAAAGCCAAGUUUGUUUGGCUUUCUUUUUGUGUAUUGAGGUUACUUUAAUUUGGAUACAAUUUCUUUUGAUUUGUUUGGUAAGUUUGAAUUCCUCAAGGCCACAAGUUCAAAUUUGAUAAUUGCUUCUUUAGUUUGUUUAGAACUUUAAGAGUUAAAAGGGAGUGGUAAAAGGCUGUGUGGUGAGACUAAAAGAGGGUAAAAGCCAUUCGAGGGAUACACGAGGGUUGAGUGAACUAUUUUUGAGAGAAACACGUGAGUGAGUGUUGGGAGGAAGUAAAUUAUUAUUAUUAUUAUUAUUAUUAUUUUUUAUUUUUUUGGCAGAAAUAUAAGAUGGGUGAUCAAAACCCCCCACCAAACCUUCAAGUUCAAGCUAUGAUGGAUGAAAUGCGACGUUUGAUGACAAAUGAAUUUAACCAAGUACAUGAAAGAAUGGACCGAAUGGAGGCACAAGUACAAAGAACUCGAUCUCGAGCAUCAUCACAGGUUUCUAACGGGGAAGAGGAGGAUGAUGGUUGGGAACCUGAAAGGCGACCAAAUAGAAGGAGGUCACGAAGAGAUGACAAUUUAAGUUCUAUUAAAAUGAAAGUUCCUUCUUUCAAAGGCAAGUCAGACCCGGACGCGUACAUUGAAUGGGAGACAAAAAUGGAGUUCAUAUUUGAUUGUCAUGAAUAUUCCAACCGUAAGAAGGUAAAACUAGCCGUAGUUGAGUUUUCUGAUUAUGCACUAACAUGGUGGGAUCAACUUCUAAUCACUAGACGGAGAAAUGGAGAAAGGCCUAUUGAGACAUGGGAUGAAAUGAAGAGUGUCAUGCGAAGACGGUUUGUGCCAAGUCAUUACUUUCGUGAUCUCCACAAUAAACUUCAAAGCUUAAAACAAGGCAGCAAGUGUGUUGAUGAUUACUUCAAAGAAAUGGAGGUUAUGAUGGUUCGUGCCAAUAUUGAGGAGGAUCCUGAGGCAACCAUGGCCAGAUUCUUAAAUGGCUUAAAUCUUGAAAUUCGUGAUCGCGUUGAGAUGCAACAUUAUGUUGAAAUUGAAGACAUGGUCCAUAUGGCUGUUAAAAUUGAAAAACAAUUAAAAAGAGGUGGCGGGUCUCGAAAUAACACUUGGAAGGCUAGUACUUCAAAAAAAUCAGAAAAUACACCUACUUCUUCUUCUAAUUCCAAAUCUGAUCCUAAAACAACAAACUCUUCAAAAGGAAAAACUGAUUCUUCUACUUUUAGGAAUCGUGACAUAAAGUGUUUCAAGUGUCAAGGAAGGGGUCAUAUUGCAAGUCAAUGUCCAAAUAAGCUUACCAUGGUGGUUAGAGAAAAUGGCGAGAUCGAAACGGAUGAAUCAGAUUCUAUAGUUUCAACGGAAGAUUGUAGUUAUGAUGAAGAGGUGGCUGUUCAAGGUGAUUUGUUGGUUGCAAGACGAGCUCUAAACAUUCAAUCCAAGGAGGGAGACGAUGCCCAAAGGGAGAAUAUAUUUCAUACUCGUUGCUAUGUUCAAGGCAAGGUAUGUAGUGUUAUAAUUGAUGGUGGGAGUUGUACUAACGUUGCAAGUACUUCCAUGGUUGAAAAGUUAGGUAUACCCACGAUGAAGCAUCAAAAACCAUACAAACUUCAAUGGCUCAAUGAUAGUGGUGAGGUGCGAGUUACAAAACAGGUGAUGGUUUCAUUUCGGAUUGGAAGAUAUGAAGACGAGGUGUUGUGUGAUGUUGUUCCUAUGCAAGCCACUCACUUGCUGCUAGGUAGACCAUGGCAAUAUGAUAGACACGUAAGUCACGACGGUUUCACUAACAAAUACACUUUUGUUUACAAAACAAAACCGGUAACUCUUGUACCAAUGUCACCAAUUCAAGUUUACCAAGAUCAAGUAAAACUUCAACAAGAUGCGAAAAAAGAGAGCGAAGGAAAAAAAGAGAGUGAGAAAAAAAAAGAUGAUGAACAAAAAAAAAUGAGUGAGAAAACAGAAGAAAAUGAACAAAAAAAAGAAAGUGAACAAAAAAAAGAGAGUGAAAAAAACAAAGAAAACAUGAAAAAAAGAGGGAAAGAAAAAAAGGAAAAUAAAUAUAUUGCACUGGCAAAAAAAAGUGAGAUAAAAGAAGCUUUUAAAUCAGAAAUGCAUAUUGUGCUUCUUUUGUUCAAAGAAGCUCCAAUAGCCACUAACACUUCGGCCGGAACUCUUCCGAGCGAUGUUACCUCUCUCUUGCAGGAAUUUGGAGACUUGUUUGCUGAGGAUGUUCCAAAUGGAUUGCCACCAAUUCGUGGGAUUGAACACCAAAUUGACUUUAUGCCUGGGGCGUCUAUUCCCAACAAACCAGCCUAUAGAACAAGCCCUGAAGAAACCAAGGAGCUACAAAGGCAAGUUGAAGAGUUACUUGCAAAGGGAUUGGUUCAAGAAAGUAUGAGCCCUUGUGCCGUUCCAGUCUUGUUGGUGCCAAAGAAGGAUGGUUCUUGGAGGAUGUGCGUAGAUUGCCGUGCCAUCAACAAUAUUACGGUAAAGUAUCGUCAUCCCAUUCCCCGACUCGAUGAUAUGCUUGAUGAGUUGUAUGGAGCAAAACUUUUUUCCAAAAUUGAUUUAAAAAGCGGGUAUCACCAAAUUCGCAUGAAAGAAGGUGAUGAGUGGAAAACAGCUUUUAAAACAAAACAUGGUUUAUAUGAAUGGUUAGUAAUGCCUUUUGGCCUAACUAAUGCUCCUAGUACCUUCAUGAGAUUAAUGAACCAUGUUUUGCGUGAAUAUAUUGGCAAAUUUGUGGUUGUUUACUUCGAUGAUAUUUUGAUUUAUUCAAAGUGUCCAAAAGAUCACCUUGAGCAUCUGACAUGUGUUUUGAGUGUGCUUAGGAAAGAAAGGCUAUAUGCUAACUUGAAGAAGUGUACCUUUUGUACUGACCAAGUUGUUUUCCUUGGGUAUGUGGUGAGCUCCCAAGGAGUGGCUGUUGAUGAAGAAAAGGUAAAAGCCAUCCAAGAUUGGCCAACUCCAAAGACUAUAAGUGAAGUUCGAAGUUUUCAUGGCCUGGCAAGUUUUUAUCGCCGGUUUGUCAAACAUUUUAGCACUUUAGCAUCACCACUUACAGAAAUCAUCAAAAAGAAUGUUGGGUUUAAAUGGGGCAAAGAACAAGAGCAUGCUUUUCAACAACUCAAGUUUCACUUAACUCAUGCUCCUUUGUUGUCUUUGCCUAAUUUUGACAAAACAUUUGAAAUUGAAUGUGAUGCAUCAGGAAUUGGAAUUGGUGCUGUUUUGAUGCAAGAGGGUAAACCUUUGGCAUAUUUCAGUGAAAAAUUAAGUGGGGCAACUUUAAAUUACCCAACUUAUGACAAAGAGCUUUAUUCUUUGGUCCGAGCAUUGAAAACAUGGCAACAUUAUCUGUGGGCUAAAGAAUUUGUAAUUCAUUCAGAUCAUGAGUCCUUAAAGUUUCUAAAAGGACAACACAAAUUAAACAAAAGACAUGCUAGGUGGAUGGAGUUCAUUGAGACAUUUCCUUAUGUCAUCCGAUACAAGAAAGGUAAGGAAAAUGUUGUGGCUGAUGCUUUGUCACGUAGACACUCUCUACUUUCUUCUCUAGAUUUCAAAAUUCUAGGAUUUGAACAAAUCAAGGAAUUAUACCACAAUGACGUUGAUUUUGGUCAGAUUUACCAAGCUUGUGAACAAUGCUCUUUUGAAAAGUUUUUCUUACAUAAUGGUUUUUUGUUCAAAGAAUCAAGACUUUGCAUUCCUAAAUCUUCCUUGCGUGAGCUUUUGGUUAGAGAAGCACAUAGUGGAGGCCUUAUGGGACAUUUUGGGAUCGCAAAAACAUUAUCUACUUUGCAGGAACAUUUCUUUUGGCCAAAAAUGAAGGUGGAUGUUGGAAGAAUUUGCAAUAAUUGUAUUGUGUGCAAGCAAGCCAAAUCCAAGGUUCAACAUCAUGGUUUAUAUACUCCACUUCCAAUACCAUGUGAACCAUGGGUUGAUAUUUCAAUGGACUUCGUGUUGGGUCUACCAAGAUCCAAAAGUGGAAAGGACUCUAUUUUUGUGAUUGUUGAUAGGUUUUCUAAAAUGGCUCAUUUUAUUGCAUGCAAUAAAACUAAUGAUGCAUCUCACAUUGCUGAUUUGUUUUUUAGAGAAAUUGUCAGGUUGCAUGGAAUGCCAAAAACCAUUGUCUCAGAUCGGGAUUCUAAGUUUUUGAGUUAUUUUUGGAAAACUUUGUGGGCAAAAUUAGGGACAAAACUCUUGUUUUCAACAACUUGCCACCCACAAACGGAUGGUCAAACAGAAGUGGUGAAUAGGACCUUGUCCACCUUGUUGAGGGCUUUAAUAAAGAAGAACAUCAAAACAUGGGAGGACUGUUUGCCACAUGUUGAGUUUGCAUACAAUCGUGCCACUCAUUCUGCUACAAAAAUGUCACCAUUUGAAAUUGUAUACGGUUUUAAUCCUUUGACUCCUUUGGAUUUAUCACCUUUGCCUUUUUCUGAGCAGGUUAACUUAGAUGGAAACAAAAAGGCUGAAUUUGUGAAACAGAUACAUGAGAAAGCAAGACUAAAUAUAGAAAGAAGAACGGAGCAAUAUUCAAAACAAGCGAAUAAAGGGCGACGCAAGAUGAUUUUUGAACCGGGUGAUUGGGUUUGGUUACAUAUGAGAAAAGAACGAUUUCCAGCCCAACGACGUUCAAAAUUGCUUCCAAGAGGGGACGGUCCUUUCCAAGUUUUAGAGCGUAUCAAUGACAAUGCAUACAAAUUGGACCUGCCGGGUGAGUAUAAUGUUAGUGCAACUUUCAAUGUAACUGAUCUAGCUCCUUUUGAUGUAGGUUCUGAUUUGAGGACAAAUCCUUUUCAAGAGGAGGGGAAUGAUGCAAACCCACAGCUGUCAACAAAGGAUCCAAAUCAAAUGCCAGAUGGACCAGUUACGAGGGCACGAGCUAAAACAUUCAAAGAGGCUUUAAAUGGAUUGGUUAGAGAAGUUUGUACUCAAGAAAGUGUAUGGAGACCCAUUGGACCCAAUCAAAGUUGGAUUACCAUAAUUCAAGUCCAAGAGUGAUUUACAAGAUACAAUAAGAGCCUUUAUAAGCCCAUUUCGUUUUUUUCUAUAUUUUUAUGUAAUUUUCGUUUUUUAUAUAUCCUAAAUAAGUGUUGGGGAGAUAAAAGGGUCUUAGGUUACAUGAACCUUGUGAUAAACCAUGUCUAGGUUCAUAGUUUUAAACUUGGGGGUUAAAUGCCUUAAAUUAAAGACACUUCUUUAAUUCAUGGCUCUUUAGGUGCUCUUCCCACACUAUAAAAACGUGGUAUUUGUAUCCAUUUGAAAUCAAUCAAGUUUUGAAUACAAUUUGUGAGUUUUUAACUCUUUUUUCGUUCUUUGUGAACUUUAGAACUUAUCAGGUUUUCAUAGCUUGUGGCGUUCAAACUUAUCAAUCAAUUUGGUGGGUUGAUUGUGGCGUUUUAUACCAAGGUUCUUGUCUCUUUAUAGACAACGGGUCGCGGUUUCCACCUUUGUUUUACAAUUCUGUAACCAAAAGAACGAUCGGGCGAAACGUGUUCAAACCUCCAUUUUGGGUGAGAUCACAUCAUUUCCUAUGCAUGGUUGAAUUCUAUUUGUACACGUCAUUCAUGGCUUCAAUCUUCACAAGAACUUCUUGGUGUAGUUUCAUCAUGGCCUUCAAAUUGUCAUUAGUAUCCCUGUGAACCAAUUCAUCGUUUGGAAAUGAUAUCAAAUAUAAAGGCUUGUAAAGAUUCACACCAUACAUCACUUAUAAAGGACAAUGUCAUGUAGCAUAAGUAGGAGAACUGUUACAGGCAAACUCAGCAUGUGCAAGUUUGAUGUCCAACUGUUUUUGAGUUUUGCUAACCAACCCCCUCAAUAAACGUACCCAAAGUUCUAUUAGUCACCUUCGUUUGCCCAUCAGUUUGUGGAUGAUGGGACGUACUAAAAAGUAACUUUGUACCAACUUUCCUCCACAAUGUGUUCCAAAUGUAACUCAAAAACAAGGAAUCCCUAUCAGAAACAAUAGUUUUAAGAAUAAUAUGCAAGUGAACCACUUCUUUAAAGUACAAAUCAGACACAUUAGAUGAAUCAUUGGUGUUAUGACAUGGCAUAAAGUGAGCCAUUUUUGAAAACCUAUCUACCACCAAUAUAAUGGAUUCCUUCCCCCUUUGAGUUCUAGGAAAAGCCAUACUGAAUUCCAUUGACACCUCUUGCCAAGGACGAAUAGNGACAUACUGAAUUCCAUUGACACCUUUUGCCAAGGACGAAUAGGAACCGACAAAGGAGUGUAAACUCCAUGCUUGAAAGUUCUUUUCGUCAUCCGACAUGUAACCCACUUGCCCACUAUGUUGGUUACAUCCCUAACAUCUUUAGGCCAGAAGAAAUAUUCUUAAAGCAUGUUCAAAGGUUUGAUAAUGGAAAAAUGACCCGCCAAACCACAACCAUGAGCUUCACGAAUCAGCAACUCCCGUAUUUCAUGUUUAGGGACACAAAGGUCAUUGCCUUUUGAUGCCUUUAUGGGCUUGAUUAAGUGAGUGGGGUUGUGUUUAGGUAAAUUAAGCUAAAAUAACUUCCACAAAUGCUUAGUAAGAAAUCAAGACCUACUAAGUUGUAUACUCGUGAAAACUAUCCAAGAAAUAAUAUUUGUUUGAAUGCGUAUCAAGUCAAGAACACAUCUCGACUAUGACAAGUAGUGAACUAUAACUAUAGUUUAAAGUGAACAAAGGUUAUUUUGAUUAAAAUUUCAUCUAUUUCUUUUUUCCAUGCAUAAUUGGCUUAUAUGAAGCCUUUAUAACAAAGUUGGUGGUUACUAGCCACCCAACCAACUACUCAGUAAAACUAAUAAUGGAAAUUAAAGAAACUCAUGAAACCACACAAAAAAACGUAAGACACAUUGAUGAAUGAAAAAAGUGUCCAUGCUCCAUUAAGGAGCAAAAAGAAGCAUUAAAGUGUAAUCCAAAUCCACCAAAGAGUAUCAACAAUGGCUAGAAGGCUUGACGAAGCAAAAAGUAACAGUUUUGAGCACUUAUUAAGCCUUUAAAAUGUUGCCCUAGCCUUCAUGCGACCCUAAUUUAAUACGUAGGUUACCAUGCACAACCCAACCAUUGAGUACAAACCACCUUCUAGCCUACUAGUAAUCACUAAUCCAUCACAUUUUUCGGCUUUUCAUGAGCCAUGCAUGGAUCCUCCCCUCCCUCUUUGAAAGGAAAUGACCUUAAUUCAUCAAGGCCAUCCUCAACAAGAUACGGUGAAAGGUCUCCCACAUUAAAGGUAGCAUGCACUCCAUGGUCUCGUCCC
rnacentral:lncRNA from 1 species